rnacentral:rRNA from 1 species
AUUGAACGCUGGCGGAAUGCUUUACACAUGCAAGUCGAACGGCAGCACGGGGCAACCUGGUGGCGAGUGGCGAACGGGUGAGUAAUAUAUCGGAACGUGCCCAAUCGUGGGGGAUAACGUAGCGAAAGUUACGCUAAUACCGCAUACGAUCUACGGAUGAAAGCGGGGGAUCGCAAGACCUCGCGCGAAUGGAGCGGCCGAUGUCAGAUUAGGUAGUUGGUGGGGUAAAGGCUCACCAAGCCGACGAUCUGUAGCUGGUCUGAGAGGACGACCAGCCACACUGGGACUGGGACACGGCCCAGACUCCUACGGGAGGCAGCAGAGGGGAAUUUUGGCCAAUGGGCGCAAGCCUGAUCCAGCCAUUCCGCGUGCAGGAUGAAGGCCUUCGGGUUGUAAACUGCUUCUGUACGGAACGAAACGGCGAGCUCUAAUACAGUUUGCUAAUGACGGUACCGUAAGAAUAAGCACCGGCUAACUACGUGCCAGCCGCCGCCGUAAGAC